AAGAUGAGAACUAGCAAUCACCAAGAUGAGAACUAGCAAUCACCAAGAUGAGAACUAGCAAUCACCAAGAUGAGAACUAGCAAUCACCAAGAUGAGAACUAGAUCGACAGUCAGAGAGAAUCUAAAAUUCCCCAUCAUGUCAUGUGGCCCUCCCAUUGAUUUUGUUAUAAAUGUUUGAGUCACUCACAUGGCAUAAGAACAAGGCAUAAGAACAAGGCAUAAGAACAAGGCAUAAGCCAUGGCAACAAAAAUGUUUAUAAUUGCAGCAAAUUCCUUUUUUUUUUAAACUCAGAAUUCUCUCAGCCUCAUGACAACAUGUGUGGAAUUGCAGGAAAAAUAGCUUUAAAGUUGUAAAAUGUUGUUCUCUGCCCCUCAUGGCAAAAUGUGUAGAAUUGUAGGAAAUGUGUUUUUAAAACAGAAAAAAUGUCACUGCUGAAAAGAAUCAGGCUACUGUUUACUUGUUAAUGUACGGUAAAGUUAAGGUUAACUUGUUAAUGUAAGGUUAACUUGUUAAUGUAAGGUUAAGGUUAACUUGUUAAUGUAAGGUUAAGGUUAACUUGUUAAUGUAAGGUUAAGGUUAACUUGUUAAUGUACGGUAAGGUUAAGGUUAAGCACAGGGAAAUGGCACUGUUUUAUAUUUUACGCAUUAAAAAAUAAUACAUUGUUUGACACAACUAUACUGAACAAAAAUAUAAACGCAACAUGCAACCAUUUCAAAGAUU